CCUACGGGAGGCAGCAGUGAGGAAUAUUGGUCAAUGGGCGCGAGCCUGAACCAGCCAAGCAGCGUGAAGGAUGACGGCCCUACGGGUUGUAAACUUCUUUUAUAAAGGGAUAAAGUGAGGCACGUGUGCCUUUUCGUAUGUACUUUAUGAAUAAGGAUCGGCUAACUCCGUGCCAGCAGCCGCGGUAAUACGGAGGAUCCGAGCGUUAUCCGGAUUUAAUGGGUUUAAAGGGAGCGUAGAUGGGUAGUUAAGUCAGGUGUGAAAGUCUGAGGCUCAACCGGACAAUUGCAAUUGAAACUGGCAGCCUUGAGAACAGGUGAGGGAGGCGGAAGUCGUGGUGGAGCGGUGAAAUGCUUAGAU
rnacentral:rRNA from 1 species